AGUCGAGAAUCUUCGGCAAUGGACGAAAGUCUGACCGAGCGAUGCCGCGUGCGGGAUGAAGGCCCUCGGGUUGUAAACCGCUGUCAGUUGGGAGGAAGGCUCCGUGAAGAGCGGAGUUUGACCUAUCUUCAGAGGAAGUCCGGGCUAAGUUCGUGCCAGCAGCCGCGGUAACACGAACCGGACAAACGUUAUUCGGAAUUAUUGGGCUUAAAGGGUGCGUAGGCGGUGCGGUAAGUGAGGUGUGAAAGCCCACGGCUCAACCGUGGAAUUGCGCUUCAUACUGCCGUGCUAGAGGGAGACAGAGGUAAGCGGAACUGAUGGUGGAGCGGUGAAAUGCGUUGAUAUCAUCAGGAACACCGGUGGCGAAAGCGGCUUACUGGGUCUCUUCUGACGCUGAGGCACGAAAGCUAGGGUAGCGAA
rnacentral:rRNA from 1 species